rnacentral:rRNA from 1 species
GGAGUUAGCCGGUGCUUCUUCUGUGAGUGAUGUCCUUCCUGCCGGUUAUUGACCCGCAGGCCUUCUUCCUCACUGAAAGUGCUUUACAACCCGAAGGCCUUCUUCACACACGCGGCAUGGCUGGAUCAGGGUUGCCCCCAUUGUCCAAUAUUCCCCACUGCUGCCUCCCGUAGGAGUCUGGGCCGUGUCUCAGUCCCAGUGUGGCUGAUCAUCCUCUCAGACCAGCUACGGAUCGUCGCCUUGGUGAGCCGUUACCUCACCAACCAGCUAAUCCGACAUAGGCUCAUCCGAUAGCGCGAGGCCCGAAGGUCCCCCGCUUUCCCCCGUAGGGCGUAUGCGGUAUUAGCCCUGGGUUUCCCCAGGUUAUCCCCCACUACCGGGCAGAUUCCUAUGCAUUACUCACCCGUCCGCCGCUCGCCACCAGGGAGCAAGCUCCCCGUGCUGCCGCUCGACUUGCAUGUGUAGCUCGCCGCCACGCGUCAUCUGAGCAUAAUACAACUACUCGA